UUGGAGGGCAAGUCUGGUGCCAGCAGCCGCGGUAAUUCCGGCUCCAAUAGCGUAUAUUAAAGUUGUUGCAGUUAAAAAGCUCGUAGUUGAAUUUCGGGAUUAGUACGUUGGUCGUGCCUUCGGUACGUACUGGUGUUACUGAUUCCUACCUUCUGACGAACCAUCAUGUCAUUAAUUUGGUGUGGCGGGGAAUCAGGACUGUUACUUUGAAAAAAUUAGAGUGUUUAAAGCAGGCUCGCGCUUGAAUACAUUAGCAUGGAAUAAUGAAAUAGGACGUUGACCCUAUUUUGUUGGUUUCUAGGAUUGACGUAAUGAUUAAUAGGGAUAGUUGGGGGCAUUAGUAUUCAAUUGUCAGAGGUGAAAUUCUUGGAUUUAUUGAAGACUAACUACUGCGAAAGCAUUUGCCAAGGAUGUUUUCAUCAAUCAAGAACGAAAGUUAGGGGAUCGAAGACGAUCAGAUACCGUCGUAGUCUUAACCAUAAACUAUGCCGACUAGGGAUCGGAUGAUGUUAUUUUUAAUGACUCAUUCGGCGCCUUACGGGAAAC
rnacentral:rRNA from 1 species